GUGUGAAAUGAUGGCAAUCAUCUUCUGGGAUUGACCUGAGAUGAAGAGAAUACUCAUUGCUGAUCUCUU
rnacentral:snoRNA from 1 species